UGAGAAGCUUCGACUAAGGUUCGAUUCGAGCGCAGCGAGAAAGCGUUGCCGCAGGCAACGACCCGAAGGGCGAAGCGCGCAGCGCUGAGUAAUCCUUCCCCCACCACCA
rnacentral:sRNA from 1 species